UCACUGCUUUUCUGACCAAUCCAAUUUGAGAAUUCAACAGCGCUUUGGUUUAAACCAUAAUAAUGCAUGCUUCUAAAGUUGUUCAGUAGAGCAUUUCUCAAUAGGUGGCCCACUGUUUCAGGUGUGUUUAGCACAGGGACAACUCGAGACUCUGUAGAACAGUGGGCCUCCAGGUCUGGAGCUGAGAUACUCGACGGGAUGGGAAUGUUUAUAUGCUCUCCCAUUUACUGUGCAUGGAGCAGGAAUGAAUCAAGCCUUUAAAGGAGUCCAGGGGUUUAAAGCUGCAGGUGUGGAUCUGAUUAUGAAUGAAAUAGCCUUAAAGAGUGCCUUUGACAAAAGAAGAAAUUAUUAAAAUCAUCCUCAUGGUUGGAUCGGGAAGCUGUCGUAAGGUUUCAAUGGACUCACAAGGUUGCAAAAGGAAACAUGGCAAGCACCUCACACCCCAGAAAAAGCCCCAAGUGGACAAAGGGAGAAAAUAUAACAGGCUGCACAGAUAACAACUGGAGCUCAGGAGCUCAGGAUUGAACCUUUCAUCUGCUUGACGCUUUAACCUGCACCUACUUAAGACAUAGGCACCUCAUUCUCUGUGCGGGGAGGCACAUUUUCCAGCAGGUCAAUCCCAUUCACCACCACACUCUUCUUCUCCUUCACCGGAGCCUUGAACACCAGCUUGCUGGGUCUGCUGUAGCC